GGUCUCAGUAACGUUAGACUCUGCUUGUGAGAAUAAGAUAAACUAAAAGUGCUUGCUCAUAAUGUAAGGCUUCAAGUCUGUAAGACCGAAUGAGUAGAGUAGAUGCAGCUAAAGGUCAGGAAGGCUUCCUGGAGGAAGUGGCACUAGAGCUUGGGCAACAGAAGAGACUUAGGGAGUUGAGAGGGAGGCCAUUCUAGGUUCAGUGUUACUAGAGUGUUAGAAGGGUCUUAGAGAACUUUUUAAAUUGGAAAAUUGAAAUCCCAAGUGGGCAAGCAAGGGCUCCAGCCUAGCACUCCCUUUUCUCUCCCACAUAGCAUGAGGGAGAGUGGAAAGGUAGGAGUGGGUGGGAAAGUGUUGCACCCAGCCUUUCCACUCCAAACCUCGUAUUGCUUUCUUGAGGUUGGUGGUGACCAGGAUGUAUCAUUUUAGGUUGCUUCAAUCUAACUAUCAAAGGACACGCCAAGUGUGUGGAAUUUGUCAAGAGCUUUAACCUGCCUAUGCUGAUGCUGGGAGGCGGUGGUUACACCAUUCGUAACGUUGCCCGGUGCUGGACAUAUGAGA
rnacentral:lncRNA from 10 species